rnacentral:rRNA from 1 species
AUUGAACGCUGGCGGCAGGCUUAACACAUGCAAGUCGAGCGGGGUUGUGGUGCUUGCACCAUAACUUAGCGGCGGACGGGUGAGUAAUACUUAGGAAUCUACCUAUUAAUGGGGGACAACAUCUCGAAAGGGAUGCUAAUACCGCAUACGCCCUACGGGGGAAAGCAGGGGCUCUUCGGACAUUGCGUUAAUAGAUGAGCCUAAGUCGGAUUAGCUAGUUGGUGGGGUAAAGGCCUACCAAGGCGACGAUCUGUAGCGGGUCUGAGAGGAUGAUCCGCCACACUGGGACUGAGACACGGCCCAGACUCCUACGGGAGGCAGCAGUGGGGAAUAUUGGACAAUGGGGGGAACCCUGAUCCAGCCAUGCCGCGUGUGUGAAGAAGGCCUUAUGGUUGUAAAGCACUUUAAGCGAGGAGGAGGCCUACCAAGCUAAUAUCUUGGAUAGGUGGACGUUACUCGCAGAAUAAGCACCGGCUAACUCUGUGCCAGCCGCCGCAGUAAAAC